AGGACGAACGCUGGCGGCGUGCUUAACACAUGCAAGUCGAGCGGAAAGGCCCUUCGGGGUACUCGAGCGGCGAACGGGUGAGUAACACGUGAGCAAUCUGCCCUUAGCUUCGGGAUAGCUCCGGGAAACCGGAAUUAAUACCGGAUAUGACUAUGGCUGACAUCAGCCAUGGUGGAAAGUUUUUCGGCUAGGGAUGAGCUCGCGGCCUAUCAGCUAGUUGGUGGGGUAACGGCCUACCAAGGCGACGACGGGUA
rnacentral:rRNA from 1 species